AUUCUGAGGACUGUAAUUUCACACACUUUCAGACAUUUGCAGAGAGAAGUGUUUUGUAAAAACUUUACAAGUCAGAGGGAUUAUUUGCUCAAACAGCAACCAGUGCAAACAUAUUUUGCUGGACUCUAAGAAGGAGAAAGAAAACAAAAGAGGAUACUGUGGGUGUUGAAGAGGAGAAGGCCCCGCUGAAAAAAAUCGUGACAUCACGCCCAUUUAGAAUCUUACCACCACUUUGAUCCUUUGAGCCUUUGAUCCUAAAAACCCAUAAAUAGGAGUGAGAAGCAACAACUUUUAGUUCGUUGUUCGCAGCAUUUAUGUUCGCAGCAUUGAAACGUUUGACAGAGAAGCCUUUCAAAACAAUUGGAUCCUUUUCAGAGUGACUUUUUACACUUUCUAACAUGUCUCUGAAAAAACACACAAGAAAAGAAAAAGUAAAGCCCAGCUCUCCUCUUCUGGCUCAAGAAGACAAUAUUCAAGUUCAGAAGAUGUGCUUGGAAGAGAUGCAUGAGGAAAAUCUCAUGAACAAUCGCAAUACGAAACACCCGCCCCAGCCAGAGUACA